rnacentral:rRNA from 1 species
AGUGAACGCUGGCGGCAGGCCUAAUACAUGCAAGUCGAACGGCAGCACAGCAGAGCUUGCUCUGUGGGUGGCGAGUGGCGGACGGGUGAGGAAUACGUGGGAAUCUGCCCAGUCGUGGGGGAUAACGUAGGGAAACUUACGCUAAUACCGCAUGCGCCUUCGGGGAAAGCCGGGGACCUUCGGGCCUGGCGCGAUUGGAUGAGCCCACGUCGGAUUAGCUAGUUGGCGGGGUAAAGGCCCACCAAGGCGACGAUCCGUAGCUGGUCUGAGAGGAUGAUCAGCCACACUGGAACUGAGACAUGGUCCAGACUCCUACGGGAGGCAGCAGUAGGGAAUAUUGGACAAUGGGCGCAAGCCUGAUCCAGCCAUGCCGCGUGAGUGAAGAAGG